UAAACGCUCGCAAGAGAGGGAGGUGUUUGCGGUAUGUUUUGGAGAACAACGUACGUACAUACAUUCCAAACAAUACUGCUUCGGACGGCAGCUUCACCAGAGCCAUCGAUGGUCGACGGAGUGAAGAACCACUCUGGGCUAGACACCUCCUUGUGGGACAGCUGGAUGGACAUUUUGGGGCUGUUGGCGUUGUCAAUAACACUUGAUACGGUCCUUCCCACUUUGGUGAAUGCCAGUGCUUCUUUUCGAUGCUUCGAAUUAGGACCCAGUCUCCCGGUCCAACCAACUUGGUUUCCUGCUGGAGUGGAGGAAGGAGUCAUGGCGUGGCGGUCAAAGCUCUGAGUUUGUGAAACCUGUUUUGCUGAUGAGCCAACGGACAAUUACCGUUUGUUGGCUUGUGUUCGUCAGUGGUGCGGCCAACAUAAGGGUGUGUGUGUGUGUGUGUGUCAAAGAUGGAUCUAGGUGUACCAUGCAUGUAAAAACACAACAAUGAUACACAGGAAAAUAAACAGAAUAAACAAAUUGAUCGGAACAAGAGUCAUGAGUGUGU